rnacentral:rRNA from 1 species
GAUGAACGCUGGCGGCGUGCUUAACACAUGCAAGUCGAACGGAAAGGCCAGUGCUUGCCCUGGUACUCGAGUGGCGAACGGGUGAGUAACACGUGGGUGAUCUGCCCUGUACUUCGGGAUAAGCUUGGGAAACUGGGUCUAAUACCGGAUAGGACAACUUUUUGGAUAUUGUUGUGGAAAGCUUUUGCGGUAUGGGAUGAGCUCGCGGCCUAUCAGCUUGUUGGUGGGGUAAUGGCCUACCAAGGCGUCGACGGGUAGCCGGCCUGAGAGGGUGUACGGCCACAUUGGGACUGAGAUACGGCCCAGACUCCUACGGGAGGCAGCAGUGGGGAAUAUUGCACAAUGGGCGCAAGCCUGAUGCAGCGACGCCGCGUGGGGGAUGAAGGCCUUCGGGUUGUAAACUCCUUUCGCUAGGGACGAAGCGUAAGUGUCGGUACCUGGAGAAGAAGCACCGGCUAACUACGUG